GCUAAAAAUCUAGCCCAAAUAAACCCUAAUGUGACCCUCACACUCUCUUUCAUAAACUAAAACAUUUUUUCCCAUUCUAGUAAAGGAGAUUGAAAAAGAUUACCGAAGCAAUAGACAUAGUACCGCAAGGGAAAGAUGAAAUAAAAAUGAAAAACCACAAGCAAAAAAAAGUAGAGACUUACCCUCGUACCUUUUGCAUCAUGGUUCAAUUAGUCUAAUCAAGCAAAAAGAAUUAAAGUUUGACCCCCCGAAACUAAGCGAGCUACUUCGAGGCAGCUUUUUGAGCUAACCCGUCUCUGUGGCAAAAGAGUGGGAUGACCUCCAAGUAGCGGUGACAGACCUAACGAGCUUAGUGAUAGCUGGUUACUCAAGAAAAGGAUUUUAGUCCAGCUUAAAGCUUUUUUAAAUCUACUAAAAUUUUUACCAGGCUUUAAAGUAAUUCAAAUAAGGUACAGCCUAUUUGAAACAGGAAACAACCUCACCCGACGGGUACAAUCUACCAUUCUACAUCCUCCACCAGUUGGCCUAAAAGCAGCCACCUAUAAAAAAGCGUCACAGCUUAAUCUGGUUUACUUGUUCAAUUCCUCCUAUCAUUUUUAACCCUCCCCCUCUACUGAGUAAUUCUAUACCCCUAUAGAAGGUUUUCUGUUGAAACUAGUAACAAGAAGGAAGACCUUCUCUUUAGUGCAAACAUAAAUCAGAAAGGACACACCACUGACAAUUAACGUCUGUGAAUUCAAAUUAGCAACUUUUUACAAGAAAAACCUACUUAGUCACACGUUAACCUAACACUAGAGCACUCCAAGAAAGAUUAAAAGAAAAAGAAGGAACUCGGCAAACUUUAACCCCGCCUGUUUACCAAAAACAUCGCCUCUUGCAUAAAAAUAAGAGGUCCAGCCUGCCCAGUGACAUGUUCAACGGCCGCGGUAUCCUAACCGUGCGAAGGUAGCGUAAUCACUUGUUCUUUAAAUGGGGACUAGUAUGAAUGGCAUCACGAGGGUUAUACUGUCUCCUUUUUCUAAUCAGUGAAACUAAUCUCCCCGUGAAGAAGCGGGGAUAAAACUAUAAGACGAGAAGACCCUAUGGAGCUUUAAACUCACCUUCAAGUGCCGGCUCCUUUCUACCCAUUUACAAUUACCCAAUCACCAUGAAGACAAGUUUUAGGUUGGGGUGACCGCGGAGCACAAAAAAACCUCCGCAUUGAACUAGGCCUCAAAACCUUGAACAAAGGGCCACGACCCUAUGCACCAAAAAAUUUUCAUCCAUUGACCCAUUUUUAUGACCAAUGAACCAAGUUACCCUAGGGAUAACAGCGCAAUCUGCUCCAAGAGUCCAUAUCGACGAGCGGGUUUACGACCUCGAUGUUGGAUCAGGGUGUCCCAGUGGUGCAGCCGCUACUAAUGGUUCGUUUGUUCAACGAUUAAAACCCU
rnacentral:rRNA from 1 species